rfam:Picea glauca, whole genome shotgun sequence.
ACAUGCCUACAACAUAGUGUUCAUUCACUCGAUUCCAUUAGAACUCUGCAGUUAAGUGCACUUAGGCUAGAGUAGUACUGGGAUGGGUGACCACCCAUGAAGUCCUAGUGUUUUACAUGGC